rnacentral:pre_miRNA from 1 species
UCUUAUGGAUGAGCAUAGAAAGUAGUUUCUUGAUAUAGAAUCUACUCCUGGUGAAGGUGCUGUGGA